AGACAUGACGUGGGAGAGCUGCCCGGUCUCCGCGAUCGCUCCUCGGACACCCUCCGAGCCUGUGACCCGGACCGCAGUGCAGCGCCGUAGGUGCAAUUCCCUCCCCGGGAAACUCUCAGGCCCAGUACCACCGAUUGCAG
rnacentral:ncRNA from 2 species